rnacentral:rRNA from 1 species
UUAAGCGACUAAGCGUACACGGUGGAUGCCCUGGCAGUCAGAGGCGAUGAAGGACGUGCUAAUCUGCGAAAAGCGUCGGUAAGGUGAUAUGAACCGUUAUAACCGGCGAUGUCCGAAUGGGGAAACCCAGUGCAAUUCGUUGCACUAUCGUUAACUGAAUACAUAGGUUAACGAGGCGAACCGGGGGAACUGAAACAUCUAAGUACCCCGAGGAAAAGAAAUCAACCGAGAUUCCCCCAGUAGCGGCGAGCGAACGGGGAGCAGCCCAGAGUCUGAAUCAGCUUGUGUGUUAGUGGAACGGUCUGGAAAGUCCGACGGUACAGGGUGAUAGUCCCGUACACCAAAAUGCACAGGUUGUGAACUCGAAGAGUAGGGCGGGACACGUGGUAUCCUGUCUGAAUAUGGGGGGACCAUCCUCCAAGGCUAAAUACUCCUGACUGACCGAUAGUGAACCAGUACCGUGAGGGAAAGGCGAAAAGAACCCCGGCGAGGGGAGUGAAAAAGAACCUGAAACCGUGUACGUACAAGCAGUGGGAGCACCUUCGGGUGUGACUGCGUACCUUUUGUAUAAUGGGUCAGCGACUUAUAUUCUGUAGCAAGGUUAACCGUAUAGGGGAGCCGCAGGGAAACCGAGUCUUAACUGGGCGUUAAGUUGCAGGGUAUAGACCCGAAACCCGGUGAUCUAGCCAUGGGCAGGUUGAAGGUUGGGUAACACUAACUGGAGGACCGAACCGACUAAUGUUGAAAAAUUAGCGGAUGACUUGUGGCUGGGGGUGAAAGGCCAAUCAAACCGGGAGAUAGCUGGUUCUCCCCGAAAGCUAUUUAGGUAGCGCCUCGUGAACUCAUCUUCGGGGGUAGAGCACUGUUUCGGCUAGGGGGUCAUCCCGACUUACCAACCCGAUGCAAACUACGAAUACCGAAGAAUGUUAUCACGGGAGACACACGGCGGGUGCUAACGUCCGUCGUGAAGAGGGAAACAACCCAGACCGCCAGCUAAGGUCCCAAAGUCAUGGUUAAGUGGGAAACGAUGUGGGAAGGCACAGACAGCCAGGAUGUUGGCUUAGAAGCAGCCAUCAUUUAAAGAAAGCGUAAUAGCUCACUGGUCGAGUCGGCCUGCGCGGAAGAUGUAACGGGGCUAAACCAUGCACCGAAGCUGCGGCAGCGACACUAUGUGUUGUUGGGUAGGGGAGCGUUCUGUAAGCCUGCGAAGGUGACCUGUGAGGGUUGCUGGAGGUAUCAGAAGUGCGAAUGCUGACAUAAGUAACGAUAAAGCGGGUGAAAAGCCCGCUCGCCGGAAGACCAAGGGUUCCUGUCCAACGUUAAUCGGGGCAGGGUGAGUCGACCCCUAAGGCGAGGCCGAAAGGCGUAGUCGAUGGGAAACAGGUUAAUAUUCCUGUACUUGGUGUUACUGCGAAGGGGGGACGGAGAAGGCUAUGUUAGCCGGGCGACGGUUGUCCCGGUUUAAGCAUGUAGGCUGGUUGUCCAGGCAAAUCCGGAUAAUCAAGGCUGAGGUGUGAUGACGAGGCACUACGGUGCUGAAGUAACAAAUGCCCUGCUUCCAGGAAAAGCCUCUAAGCAUCAGGUAACAUCAAAUCGUACCCCAAACCGACACAGGUGGUCAGGUAGAGAAUACCAAGGCGCUUGAGAGAACUCGGGUGAAGGAACUAGGCAAAAUGGUGCCGUAACUUCGGGAGAAGGCACGCUGGUGUGUAGGUGAAGCCCCUGCGGGUGGAGCUGAGACCAGUCGAAGAUACCAGCUGGCUGCAACUGUUUAUUAAAAACACAGCACUGUGCAAACACGAAAGUGGACGUAUACGGUGUGACGCCUGCCCGGUGCCGGAAGGUUAAUUGAUGGGGUUAUCCGUAAGGAGAAGCUCUUGAUCGAAGCCCCGGUAAACGGCGGCCGUAACUAUAACGGUCCUAAGGUAGCGAAAUUCCUUGUCGGGUAAGUUCCGACCUGCACGAAUGGCGUAAUGAUGGCCAGGCUGUCUCCACCCGAGACUCAGUGAAAUUGAACUCGCUGUGAAGAUGCAGUGUACCCGCGGCAAGACGGAAAGACCCCGUGAACCUUUACUAUAGCUUGACACUGAACAUUGAGCCUUGAUGUGUAGGAUAGGUGGGAGGCUUUGAAGCGUGGACGCCAGUCUGCGUGGAGCCAACCUUGAAAUACCACCCUUUAAUGUUUGAUGUUCUAACGUUGGCCCCUUACCGGGGUUGCGGACAGUGUCUGGUGGGUAGUUUGACUGGGGCGGUCUCCUCCCAAAGCGUAACGGAGGAGCACGAAGGUUAGCUAAUCCUGGUCGGACAUCAGGAGGUUAGUGCAAUGGCAUAAGCUAGCUUGACUGCGAGCGUGACGGCGCGAGCAGGUGCGAAAGCAGGUCAUAGUGAUCCGGUGGUUCUGAAUGGAAGGGCCAUCGCUCAACGGAUAAAAGGUACUCCGGGGAUAACAGGCUGAUACCGCCCAAGAGUUCAUAUCGACGGCGGUGUUUGGCACCUCGAUGUCGGCUCAUCACAUCCUGGGGCUGAAGUAGGUCCCAAGGGUAUGGCUGUUCGCCAUUUAAAGUGGUACGCGAGCUGGGUUUAGAACGUCGUGAGACAGUUCGGUCCCUAUCUGCCGUGGGCGCUGGAGAAUUGAGGGGGGCUGCUCCUAGUACGAGAGGACCGGAGUGGACGCAUCACUGGUGUUCGGGUUGUCAUGCCAAUGGCACUGCCCGGUAGCUAAAUGCGGAAGAGAUAAGUGCUGAAAGCAUCUAAGCACGAAACUUGCCCCGAGAUGAGUUCUCCCUGAGACUUUAAGUCUCCUGAAGGAACGUUGAAGACGACGACGUUGAUAGGCCGGGUGUGUAAGCGCAGCGAUGCGUUGAGCUAACCGGUACUAAUGAACCGUGAGGCUUAACCUU